GUGGGUGUAGCUCAGAUGGUUAGAGUACCAGGUUGUGGCCCUGGGGGUCGAGGGUUCGAAUCCCUUCAUCCACCCCA
rnacentral:tRNA from 1 species